CGGCCAGUAGCGGACUUUAGCAAAAGGCGGUGGAGAAGCUGAGGACUGAAAAUCCUCGCGCCGGUGAUUCGAUUCCACCCUUGGUCAG
rnacentral:tRNA from 1 species